AGAGUUUGAUCCUGGCUCAGGACGAACGCUGGCGGCGUGCUUAACACAUGCAAGUCGAACGGAAAGGCCCCUUCGGGGGUACUCGAGUGGCGAACGGGUGAGUAACACGUGGGUGAUCUGCCCUGCACUUUGGGAUAAGCCUGGGAAACUGGGUCUAAUACCGAAUAGGACCGCAUGCUUCAUGGUGUGUGGUGGAAAGCUUUUGCGGUGUGGGAUGGGCCCGCGGCCUAUCAGCUUGUUGGUGGGGUAAUGGCCUACCAAGGCGACGACGGGUAGCCGGCCUGAGAGGGUGUCCGGCCACACUGGGACUGAGAUACGGCCCAGACUCCUACGGGAGGCAGCAGUGGGGAAUAUUGCACAAUGGGCGCAAGCCUGAUGCAGCGACGCCGCGUGGGGGAUGACGGCCUUCGGGUUGUAAACCUCUUUCAGUAUCGGCGAAGCUCCAGGAUUUUUCUUGGGGUGACGGUAGGUACAGAAGAAGCACCGGCCAACUACGUGCCAGCAGCCGCGGUAAUACGUAGGGUGCGAGCGUUGUCCGGAAUUACUGGGCGUAAAGAGCUCGUAGGUAGUUUGUCACGUUGUCUGUGAAAACUCACAGCUUAACUGUGGGCGUGCGGGCGAUACGGGCAGACUGGAGUACUGUAGGGGAGACUGGAAUUCCUGGUGUAGCGGUGGAAUGCGCAGAUAUCAGGAGGAACACCGGUGGCGAAGGCGGGUCUCCGGGCAGUAACUGACGCUGAGGAGCGAAAGCGUGGGGAGCGAACAGGAUUAGAUACCCUGGUAGUCCAA
rnacentral:rRNA from 1 species